rnacentral:rRNA from 1 species
CAGUAGCCACGGUAAAACGGAGGGAGCUAGCGUUGUUCGGAUUUACUGGGCGUAAAGCGCACGUAGGCGGAUCGAUCAGUCAGGGGUGAAAUCCCAGAGCUCAACUCUGGAACUGCCUUUGAUACUGUCGAUCUGGAGUAUGGAAGAGGUGAGUGGAAUUCCGAGUGUAGAGGUGAAAUUCGUAGAUAUUCGGAGGAACACCAGUGGCGAAGGCGGCUCACUGGUCCAUUACUGACGCUGAGGUGCGAAAGCGUGGGGAGCAAACAGGAUUAGAUACCCCCGUAGUCCCUGUCUCUUAUAA